rnacentral:rRNA from 1 species
CAUGCAGUCGAACGGUCUUUUCGGAGAUAGUGGCGGACGGGUGAGUAACGCGUAAGAAUCUACCUUCAGGUUGGGGACAACCACUGGAAACGGUGGCUAAUACCGAAUGUGCCGAGAGGUGAAAGGCUUGCUGCCUGAAGAAGAGCUUGCGUCUGAUUAGCUAGUUGGUGGGGUAAGAGCCUACCAAGGCGACGAUCAGUAGCUGGUCUGAGAGGAUGAUCAGCCACACUGGGACUGAGACACGGCCCAGACUCCUACGGGAGGCAGCAGUGGGGAAUUUUCCGCAAUGGGCGAAAGCCUGACGGAGCAAUACCGCGUGAGGGAGGAAGGCUCUUGGGUUGUAAACCUCUUUUCUCAGGGAAGAAGAAAGUGACGGUACCUGAGGAAUAAGCAUCGGCUAACUCCGUGCCAGCAGCCGCGGUAAUACGGAGGAUGCAAGCGUUAUCCGGAAUGAUUGGGCGUAAAGGGUCCGCAGGUGGCAUUGUAAGUCUGCUGUUAAAGAGUUUGGCUCAACCAAAUAAAAGCAGUGGAAACUACAAAGCUAGAGUGUGGUCGGGGCAGAGGGAAUUCCUGGUGUAGCGGUGAAAUGCGUAGAUAUCAGGAAGAACAUCGGUGGCGAAGGCGCUCUGCUAGGCCAAGACUGACACUGAGGGACGAAAGCUAGGGGAGCGAAUGGGAUUAGAUACCCCAGUAGUCCUAGCCGUAAACGAUGGAUACUAGGCGUAGCUCGUAUCGACCCGAGCUGUGCCGUAGCUAACGCGUUAAGUAUCCCGCCUGGGG